rnacentral:misc_RNA from 1 species
UCGUAACAAGGUUUCCGUAGGUGAACCUGCGGAAGGAUCAUUACCGAGUGAGGGCCCUCUGGGUCCAACCUCCCACCCGUGUUUAUUUUUCCUUGUUGCUUCGGCGGGCCCGCCUUAACUGGCCGCCGGGGGGCUCACGCUCCCGGGCCCGCGCCCGCCGAAGACACCCUCGAACUCUGUCUGAAGAUUGUAGUCUGAGUGAAAAUAUAAAUUAUUUAAAACUUUCAACAACGGAUCUCUUGGUUCCGGCAUCGAUGAAGAACGCAGCGAAAUGCGAUACGUAAUGUGAAUUGCAAAUUCAGUGAAUCAUCGAGUCUUUGAACGCACAUUGCGCCCCCUGGUAUUCCGGGGGGCAUGCCUGUCCGAGCGUCAUUGCUGCCCUCAAGCACGGCUUGUGUGUUGGGCCCCGUCCUCCGAUCCCGGGGGACGGGCCCGAAAGGCAGCGGCGGCACCGCGUCCGGUCCUCGAGCGUAUGGGGCUUUGUCACCCGCUCUGUAGGCCCGGCCGGCGCUUGCCGAUCAACCCAAAUUUUUAUCCAGGUUGACCUCGGAUCAGGUAGGGAUACCCGCUGAACUUAAGCAUAUCAAUAA